rnacentral:rRNA from 1 species
UAGCAUAAUAAUUUGUUUUUUAAUUGAAAACUGGUAUGAAUGGUUUAACAAGGAAAUAUUUUUUAUAUUUUUAUUUAAAUAAUUUAUACUUUAAGUAAAAAUUCUUAAAUAAAAAUGAGGGACGAUAAGACCCUAAAAGCUUUAUAUUUAUUUUUUAAAAAUAAGUAAUUUUAUUAAAUUUUAAAAUUAAAAUAUAAUUAACUGGGGUAGUUAUUUUAGUUAAAUUAAUAUGAAUUUAAACAAAUUAAUGGUAAUUGUUCCUUUAUAUAAGGGAAUAUAUAGAUAGUUACUUUAGGGAUAACAGCAUAAUAUUUUUGGAGAGAUCUUAUUGAUAGAAAUGAUUGUGACCUCGAUGUUGAAUUAAAAAAACUUUAUAAAGCAGCAUAUAUAUAUAGUAGGUUUGUUCAACCUUUAAAAUUUUACAUGAUUU